rnacentral:misc_RNA from 1 species
CUCUGGCGCUCCGGCGCCAUGAUGCUAACCCGUGAACAAAUUCUUGUGCAUAUUGAGGAACCGCAUUGGAAGGUGCGUGUUAGCCUGUCGUGCUCCUAGUAAUACCCUUAAGUCGUGGGGUUGAGCACACGGGCUUGCUUCGGCGGACGAUUUUCGUCGUGAUGGUUUUAUACCAUGGUUCGUUUGGACCUGGAAUAUGCCAUUGCGAUAGACCGCAAGAGCACCUCCCCUUGGGUCCCCCGGAUGCUUUCGACAAUCUCGAAUGCAUCGUCUGGGUGUGGCUGGAGGGCAACCUCGACAACCCAAACAAAAUCAUGCAACCCCUUGUAUUUACCCGAUCGUCCUGAUCGUAUUGCAAACCGUGGCUAUCACAGCCCCCGUUUCGAAAUCAAACUGAAAAAACUCUCAACAACGGAUAUCUUGGCUCUUGCAACGAUGAAGAACGCAGCGAAAUGCGAUACGUAGUGUGAAUUGCAGAAUUCCGUGAAUCAUCGAAUGUUUGAACGCAAAUUGCGCCCGAGGCUUCAGCCGAGGGCAUGUCUGCUUGAGCGCCGCUGGACACCCCUCGUCCCAAAUUCUCGUCGUCACAAUGUGGGUGACGAGAUGA